rnacentral:rRNA from 1 species
CUAACGAGGAUUCCCCUAGUAACUGCGAGUGAAGCGGGAAAAGCUCAAAUUUAAAAUCUGGCAGUCUUUGGCUGUCCGAGUUGUAAUCUAGAGAAGUGUUAUCCGCGCUGGACCGUGUACAAGUCUCCUGGAAUGGAGCGUCAUAGAGGGUGAGAAUCCCGUCUGUGACACGGACUGCCAGGGCUUUUGUGAUGCGCUCUCAAAGAGUCGAGUUGUUUGGGAAUGCAGCUCAAAAUGGGUGGUAAAUUCCAUCUAAAGCUAAAUAUUGGCGAGAGACCGAUAGCGAACAAGUACCGUGAGGGAAAGAUGAAAAGAACUUUGGAAAGAGAGUUAAACAGUACGUGAAAUUGCUGAAAGGGAAACGCUCGAAGUCAGUCGCGUUGUCCAGGGAUCAACUCUUGCUUUUGCUUGGUGUACUUUCUGGUUAACGGGUCAGCAUCAAUUUUGACUAUUGGAAAAAGAUCAGGGGAAUGUGGCAUCUUUGGAUGUGUUAUAGCCCUCUGGUUGCAUACAUUACUUGGGAUUGAGGAACUCAGCACGCCGCAAGGCCGAGUUUUUAACUACGUACGUGCUUAGGAUGCUGGCAUAAUGGCUUUAAUCGACCCGUCUUGAAACACGGACCAAGGAGUCUAACAUGCCUGCUAGUGUUUGGGUGGAAAACCCGAGCGCGCAAUGAAAGUGAAAGUUGAGAUCCCUGUCGUGGGGAGCAUCGACGCCCGGACCUGACCUUUUGUGAAGGUUCCGCGGUAGAGCAUGUAUGUUGGGACCCGAAAGAUGGUGAACUAUGCCUGAACUCGGGUGAAGCCAGAGGAAACUCUGGUGGAGGCUCAUAGCGAUUCUGACGUGCAAAUCGAUCGUCAAAUUUGGCUAUAGGGAAUCAACGACUAAUUCCAAUCCUCCAGCAGCUGGAUCCGGCAGUUUUCCCCGGGUAAAAAAAAAAAAAUAACCAGCUACAAAUGGUUCGAUAGUCCUUUCCGCCUAUUCCCAAAUUUGAAC